rnacentral:rRNA from 1 species
AUUGAACGCUGGCGGCAGGCCUAACACAUGCAAGUCGAACGGGAACAGGAAGAGGCUUGCUUCUUUGCUGACGAGUGGCGGACGGGUGAGUAAUGUCUGGGAAACUGCCUGAUGGAGGGGGAUAACUACUGGAAACGGUAGCUAAUACCGCAUAACUUCGCAAGACCAAAGAGGGGGACCUUCGUGCCUCUUGCCAUCGUAUGUGCCCAGAUGGGAUUAGCUAGUAAGUGGGGUAACGGCUCACCUAGGCGACUAUCCCUAGCUGGUCUGAGAGGAUGACGAGCGACAAUGCAACUGGUAAACGCCCCAGAAUACUACGGGAGGCACCAGUGGGGAAUAUUGCACAACGGGCGCAAGCCUGAUGCAGCCAUGCCGCGUGUAUGAAGACGUCAUUCGGGUUGUACAGUCCUUUCAGCGCGGAGGAAGGGAGUAAAGUUAAUACCUUGGCUCAUUGACGUUACCCGCAGAAGAAGCACCGGCUAACCCCGUG